CGAACGGUAAGGCCCUUUCGGGGGUACACGAGUGGCGAACGGGUGAGUAACACGUGGGUGACCUGCCCUGUACUUCGGGAUAAGCCUGGGAAACUGGGUCUAAUACCGGAUAUGACCUUCUCCUGCAUGGGGGUUGGUGGAAAGUUUUUGCGGUACAGGAUGGGCCCGCGGCCUAUCAGCUUGUUGGUGGGGUAAUGGCCUACCAAGGCGACGACGGGUAGCCGGCCUGAGAGGGCGACCGGCCACACUGGGACUGAGACACGGCCCAGACUCCUACGGGAGGCAGCAGUGGGGAAUAUUGCACAAUGGGCGAAAGCCUGAUGCAGCGACGCCGCGUGAGGGAUGACGGCCUUCGGGUUGUAAACCUCUUUCAGUAGGGACGAAGCGCAAGUGACGGUACCUACAGAAGAAGCACCGGCCAACUACGUGCCAGCAGCCGCGGUAAUACGUAGGGUGCGAGCGUUGUCCGGAUUUACUGGGCGUAAAGAGCUCGUAGGCGGUUUGUCACGUCGUCUGUGAAAACCCGAGGCUUAACCUCGGGCCUGCAGGCGAUACGGGCAGACUUGAGUACUGUAGGGGAGACUGGAAUUCCUGGUGUAGCGGUGGAAUGCGCAGAUAUCAGGAGGAACACCGGUGGCGAAGGCGGGUCUCUGGGCAGUAACUGACGCUGAGGAGCGAAAGCGUGGGUAGCGAACAGGAUUAGAUACCCUGGUAGUCCACGCCGUAAACGGUGGGUACUAGGUGUGGGUUUCCUUCCACGGGAUCCGUGCCGUAGCUAACGCAUUAAGUACCCCGCCUGGGGAGUAC
rnacentral:rRNA from 1 species